AUGGCCCAGGUCGGCGUCGGCACCGUCCGGCACGGGCCCGCUUCCAAGUGCGUCUGCGCGUCGGCCACCCACGCCGGAUCCUUCAAGUGCCGCUUCCACCACACCAACUCCCAAGGCCACGGCCAGGGAAGCCGCCCUUCUUCGCCCCCUUCACCGGCCGCGGCCAACGCGGUGCCGCGGCACCCGGCCUCGCCGUCCUCGUCCUCCGGCACCGUCGCUACCCAGUGA
rnacentral:rRNA from 1 species